UGAGGAAUAUUGGACAAUGGGUGAGAGCCUGAUCCAGCCAUCCCGCGUGAAGGACGACAGCCCUAUGGGUUUUAAACUUCUUUUGUAUGGGGAUAAACCUAUCUACGAGUAGAUAGCUGAAGGUACCAUACGAAUAAGCAUCGGCUAACUCCGUGCCAGCAGCCGCGGUAAUACGGAGGAUGCGAGCGUUAUCCGGAUUUAUUGGGUUUAAAGGGUCCGUAGGCGGACUGAUAAGUCAGCGGUGAAAUCCUACAGCUUAACUGUAGAACUGCCGUUGAUACUGUUAGUCUUGAAUAGUAUUGAAGUAGCUGGAAUGUGUAGUGUAGCGGUGAAAUGCAUAGAUAUUACACAGAACACCCAUUGCGAAGGCAGGUUACUAAGUACCGAUUGACGCUGAUGGACGAAAGCGUGGGGAGCGAACA
rnacentral:rRNA from 1 species